GGGUGAGUAACACGUGGACAACCUGCCUCAAGGCUGGGGAUAACAUUUGGAAACAGAUGCUAAUACCGAAUAAAACUUAGUAUCGCAUGAUACCAGGUUAAAAGGCGCUACGGCGUCACCUAGAGAUGGAUCCGCGGUGCAUUAGUUAGUUGGUGGGGUAAAGGCCUACCAAGACAAUGAUGCAUAGCCGAGUUGAGAGACUGAUCGGCCACAUUGGGACUGAGACACGGCCCAAACUCCUACGGGAGGCUGCAGUAGGGAAUCUUCCACAAUGGGCGAAAGCCUGAUGGAGCAACGCCGCGUGUGUGAUGAAGGCUUUCGGGUCGUAAAGCACUGUUGUAUGGGAAGAAAAGUUAAGGUAGGGAAUGACCUUAGCCUGACGGUACCAUACCAGAAAGGGACGGCUAAAUACGUGCCAGCAGCCGCGGUAAUACGUAUGUCCCGAGCGUUAUCCGGAUUUAUUGGGCGUAAAGCGAGCGCAGACGGUUGGUUAAGUCUGAUGUGAAAGCCCGGAGCUCAACUCCGGAAAGGCAUUGGAAACUGGUUAACUUGAGUGCAGUAGAGGUAAGUGGAACUCCAUGUGUAGCGGUGGAAUGCGUAGAUAUAUGGAAGA
rnacentral:rRNA from 1 species